rnacentral:rRNA from 1 species
AAUUCUAGAGCUAAUACAUGCUGAAAAUCCCGACUUCGGAAGGGAUGUGUUUAUUAGAUAAAAAACCAAUGCCCUUCGGGGCUUUUUGGUGAUUCAUGAUAACUUUACGGAUCGCAUAGCCUUGCGCUGGCGACGGUUCAUUCAAAUUUCUGCCCUAUCAACUUUCGAUGGUAAGGUAUUGGCUUACCAUGGUUUCAACGGGUAACGGGGAAUUAGGGUUCGAUUCCGGAGAGGGAGCCUGAGAAACGGCUACCACAUCCAAGGAAGGCAG